rnacentral:rRNA from 1 species
AGACGGGUAGGGGGCGUGAGAGCGCGGACCCCCACACUGGCACUGAGAUACGGGCCAGACUCCUACGGGAGGCAGCAGUAAGGGAUAUUGCGCAAUGGACGAAAGUCAGACGCAGCGACGCCGCGUGGGCGAUGAAGGCCUUCGGGUUGUAAAGCCCUUUUAUGGGGGAAGAGAACAAGGACGGUACCCCAGGAAUAAGUCCCGGCUAACUACGUGCCAGCAGCCGCGGUAAAACGUAGGGGACAAGCGUUAUCCGGAUUCACUGGGCGUAAAGAGCGUUGAGGCGGUUCCGUAAGUUGGGCGUGAAAGCUCCGGGCUUAACUCGGAGAUGUCGUUCAAUACUGCGGGGCUUGAGGACAGCAGAGGAAGGUGGAAUUCCCGGUGUAGUGGUGAAAUGCGUAGAUAUCGGGAGGAACACCCGUGGCGAAGGCGGCCUUCUGGGCUGUUCCUGACGCUGAAGGCGAAAGCUAGGGGAGCGAACGGGAUUAGAUACCCCGGUAGUCCUAGCUGUAAACGAUGGAUGCUGGGUGUGGGGGGUGUAAAUUCCCUCUGUGCCGAAGCAAACGCGUUAAGCAUCCCGCCUGGGGACUACGGCCGCAAGGCUAAAACUCAAACGAAUUGACGGGGGCCCGCACAAGCAGCGGAGCGUGUGGUUUAAUUCGAUGCUACACGAAGAACCUUACCUGGGUUUGACAUGCACGUGGUAGGGAACCGAAAGGGGACCGACCUUCGGGAGCGUGCACAGGUGCUGCAUGGCUGUCGUCAGCUCGUGCCGUGAGGUGUCGGGUUAAGUCCCGUAACGAGCGCAACCCUUGCCCUUAGUUACAAGUGUCUAAGGGGACUGCCCGGGACAACUGGGAGGAAGGUGGGGAUGACGUCAAGUCAGCAUGGCCUUUAUAUCCAGGGCUACACACACGCUACAAUGGCCGGUACAAUAGGUUGCGAAGUCGUGAGGCGGAGCCAAUCCUCAAAGCCGGUCUCAGUUCGAAUUGCAGUCUGCAACUCGACUGCAUGAAGCUGGAGUUGCUAGUAAUCGCAGGUCAGCUAUACUGCGGUGAUACGUUCCCGGGCCUUGUACACACCGCCCGUCACGUCAUGGAAGCUGGCAACGCCUGAAGCCGGUGAGCUAACCCGAAAGGGAGCAGCCGUCGAGGG